rnacentral:rRNA from 1 species
GACGAACGCUGGCGGCGUGCUUAACACAUGCAAGUCGAGCGGUAAGGCUCCUUCGGGAGUACACGAGCGGCGAACGGGUGAGUAACACGUGAGCAAUCUGCCCUUCUCUUCGGAAUAACCAUUGGAAACGAUGGCUAAUGCCGAAUAUGACCUCGGAUCACAUGUUCUGAGGUGGAAAGCUCCGGCGGAGAAGGAUGAGCUCGCGGCCUAUCAGCUGUUGGUGAGGUAAUGGCUCACCAAGGCAUUGACGGGUAGCCGGCCUGAGAGGGUGACCGGCCACACUGGGACUGGGACACGGCCCAGACUCCUACGGGAGGCAGCAGUGGGGAAUAUUGGACAAUGGGCGAAAGCCUGAUCCAGCAACGCCGCGUGAGGGAUGACGGCCUCGGUUGUAAC